GGCCUGGUGUCGGUGGUAGCACAUUCUAUCGUUACGCAUCUUUUGAGCAUACAAUCUCGGAUAAGAUAUCGUAAUUGGAAAGGUCGUGGGUUCAAAUCCCACCCAGGCCA